ensembl:lncRNA
AUGGUGUCUGUCACACAACAGGUCCUCAGUCAAUGUCUGUGGGACAAACGGAGUAGCCAGAUGACAGUCGCUGGAGUCGCAAGGGACACACAGUGGCCCCUUGGCAAGGGACAAGGAUCUUACCUGUGGGCAGUAACCUGGAAGGGGACCAGGAUCCAAUCGAGGACACCACACAGCAUUUAGUCAAAUAUAUGUUGUAACUUUUUAUUUUGAAAUAACCAUAGAUUUACAGAAUAUUGCAAAAAAAAAAAAUACAGACAUCCUAUGUACUUUUGAGUCAGUUUCUCUCAGUAAGUGUAGGACAAUACUGAAACUAGGAAAUGGAUAUCACUGAUCCACAGAGCUUAUUAAAUAUACAGGCUGACAUAUAUUUUUUUUUUAAGUGAUUUUUUUGGUUUUUUGGCCUCACGUCAUGUCACGCGGGAUCCGAGUUCCCUGACCAUGAUCAAACCUGCACCUCCAGCCUUGGAAGCACGGAGCUUAGCCACUGGACCACCAGAGAAAUACCUGCCUAUACAUUUUAACCAAAUAUAUGUUUCAACCUCUACUUUGCCUCAGUCAAGAAGAACAGAUACUUUCCCAAAAACAUAAAACUUUGGAAUAAUUUUAGAUUUACUGAAAAGUUGCAAAGAGAAUUCCCUCAUACCUUUCACUCAGUUUCCUCUAAAUGUUAACAUUUUACACAACCAUUAUCAAAACUUAGAAAUUAACACUGGUAAAUGUUAAAAGAUCUUUCUAGGGUUUCACCAGUUUCUGUACUCAUGUCUUUCUUCUAUUCCAGGAUCCAAUCGAGGACACCACACAGCAUUUAGUCAAAUAUAUGUUGUAACUUUUUAUUUUGAAAUAACCAUAGAUUUACAGAAUAUUGCAAAAAAAAAAAAUACAGAGACAUCCUAUGUACUUUUGAGUCAGUUUCUCUCAGUAACUGUAGGACAAUACUGAAACUAGGAAAUGGAUAUCACUGAUCCACAGAGCUUAUUAAAUAUACAGGCUGACAUAUAUAUUUUUUUUUAAGUGAUUUUUUUGGUUUUUUGGUUUUUUGGCCUCACGUCAUGUCACGCGGGAUCCGAGUUCCCUGACCAUGAUCAAACCUGCACCUCCAGCCUUGGAAGCACGGAGCUUAGCCACUGGACCACCAGAGAAAUACCUGCCUAUACAUUUUAACCAAAUAUAUGUUUCAACCUCUACUUUGCCUCAGUCAAGAAGAACAGAUACUUUCCCCAAAAAACAUAAAACUUGCAUUUAACUCUACCUGCCUCCAAACUUAAGUCCAGUCAUGAAGUUCUUGGUCCCUCUCUCCAACCCACCAGCUAUAAACUAGGAUUUGCCCAUUCAUUCCCAAAGAAGAAGUGCACUCUGCCCCAGGGCCAGACAUGCUCAACUUAAGGACCCUGAACUCCCCAAAUUCAAGGCCAAUGUGCAUGCGUGCAUGUGUGUGUGCGUGCACGCAGGUAUGUUAGUAUGGGUGAGAGAGACAGACAGAGACAGGGAAGUAGCCCUCUUUACCAGUCUAUUUUAAACUCACUCCUGUGAAGCCAACACCACCCCCUCACGUCUCCACAGGAGAGGAGAUAAAGAGCUAGAUGAAUAUCCAAGUACAUGUCUUCUGUCACCAUCAGAUAUAAAGAUGACAGAAAUAUUCUAUCCAUCCGUUCUAAAGACUGCAGGAGUAAAUUCAACUGCCAUGAAGAUAUCAGUUUUAUCCGAGACCCAAACGGAACCAGAGACAACCUGAUCUUUGUUUCCUGAAUGAUCAUCCAGGGAUGUCUACAGGUGACCUCUAUCUGAGACAGGUCACAGAUAAGUGACCUCUAUGUGAGAAACAGAUCAUGUUUCUGUGCUGACAUAACUGUGCAUGUUUUAGUCGCUAAGUCGUGUCCGACUGACUCUUUGUGACCCCAUGGACUGUAGCCCGCCAAGCUCCCCUGUCCGUGGAAUUCUUCAGGCAAGAAUACUGGAGUAGGUUGCCUGAUUCCCUUCUCCAGGGGAUCUUCCCGACCCAGGGAUCAGACCCAGGUAUCCUAUACUUUCUGCGGAUUCAUUACCAUUGGGCCACCAAGGAUGCUCCUUGCCGGCAUAACUAAAAGCAAAGCUAGACAGGAAAAGGCUACUUUGCAAAUGAUUUUACCUGAACUCAAAUUAACAGUCUAGUUAAAUCAUAAUCCAAACCUGUGGUCCCUUUGGGCUUCCUUGGUGGCUCACACGGUAAAGAAUCCAUCUGCAACGCAGGAGACCUUGGUUUGAUCCUUAGGUCGGGAAGAUCCCCUGGAGAAGGGAAUGCAACCCACUCCAGUACUCUUGCCUGGAGAAUUCCAUGGACAGAGGAGUCUGGUCCCUUUAUUUGAGAAGUUCAAGCCCCCAAAUCAGUUGGUGGUUGGAGAAGGCAGAGGCAUUUUUUACUUCAGCCUAAAACUGGGGGAAAAAAUGUAAAGACUUCGGCUUACAAUCGAUCCCAAAUGCUGUCUCGGUCAGAACUCCCGUGAGGGCUCUGGGCUGGCUCUGUCACUGCAGCCGGCAUCCCAGGCACGCAGUGACCCUGCUGCAGCCCACACAGGCUCUGGGGAGCAGAGAGGAACUGCGGCCAGGCGGCCACAGGCAUGGCCAGUGCAGUGUGCAUGACAAAGGAUCCUCUCUGAAGCCAGCCCACUGAGCAGAGGAGGACCGGACCAUUCCCACGGGAACAGAUCUGGCUGCCUGCUUUGCUUUCCAGCAAUCAGAAAAAGGGGACUGGCUUAGCCUGGAGGAGGGGCUAUCAGGCAGAGUGAGUCAAGGCCAAGGUUCAAUUUCAAAUCCCAGAAAACCCUAAGGCUCUUCUGACUCUUACAAAGUGGUCAGAAUGGAAAUAGUCUCCUCUCCCUUCCAGAGUUUAGAAGCACAAAGACAAGACGGAGCUAAGAGAUGGGGUCCAGUUGGGUGGGCAUGAGCAGGGGAGGGGCCCUGGGCAGUGGCUGGAAGGGGAGCAGCAGAUGACACGCAGAGGUUGCAGGAGGGCCGGUCACAGUAGGUGCUGUCCUCAGACUGCAUCAACAGUACCCAUCGCUUCAUAGACCCUGGAAGCUUGUCUUACUUUAGUCACUGGGGUCAGAGGAGUCAGCCACUGGCACAUGGCUUUGCCUCUGGGAUUCGGGUGAAUUCCUAUAAGCAAAGCUAGACAGGAAAAGGCUACUUUGCAAAUGAUUUUACCUGAACUCAAAUUAACAGUCUAGUUAAAUCAUAAUCCAAACCUGUGGUCCCUUUGGGCUUCCUUGGUGGCUCACACGGUAAAGAAUCCAUCUGCAACGCAGGAGACCUUGGUUUGAUCCUUAGGUCGGGAAGAUCCCUGGAGAAGGAAUGCAACCCACUCCAGUACUCUUGCCUGGAGAAUUCCAUGGACAGAGGAGUCUGGUCCCUUUAUUUGAGAAGUUCAAGCCCCAAAUCAGUUGGUGGUUGGAGAAGGCAGAGGCAUUUUUACUUCAGCCUAAAACUGGGGAAAAAUGUAAAGACUUCGACUUACAAUCG